ensembl:lncRNA
UGAUCACAUAGUUACUCUGGAUGGACAGCAGUAAAAGACCUUGGAGUGAUUCUUGACUCCAGUCUCUCAUUUGAUGCUCAUGUAGAUAAUAUUACUAGGAUAGCCUUCUUUCAUCUCAGAAAUAUUUCUAAGAUAAGAAAUAUAUUGUCACUACAUGAUGCAGAAAUAUUAGUUUAUGCUUUUGUCACCUCAUGACUAGAUAACUGUAAUGCCUUACUGUCUGGAUGUUCCAGUACGAGUAUAAACAAACCCCAGUUAGUCCAGAAUGCAGUUGCUAGAGUCCUAACUAGAACCAGAAGAUAUGACCAUACCACCCCGAUCUUAUACACACUGCAUUGGCUCCCUGUGAAAUCUCGCAUUAAUUAUAAAAUACUAUUAUUAACCUAUAAAGCACUAAACGGUCUCGCGCCACAGUAAAUAAGCGACCUUUUGGUUCUGUAUGAUCCGCCACGCCUACUUAGAUCAAAAGAUACAGGCUAUUCGACAGUACCUUGAAUAGCGAAGGCUACAGCAGGGGGAAGAGCUUUCUCUUAUAGAGCCCCACAGUUAUGGAACAGUCUCCCAAUUAGUGUUCAGGACUCAGACACAGUCUCAGUGUUUAAGUCUAGGCUUAAAACGUAUUUGUUUACUCAAGCCUGCCCUGACUAGACUUUCUGUUACACUAAGCACAAGCCUAACAGUCUUUUCUCUCCCUCUCUCCUUCUGUCGAGCCACACACAAUUUUAUGGAGAUACUAGAGAUCCUGAUCCUCUCUGCUCUGCGGACCUGCCUGAUCCGUUUCGGAUGUCCUACCUCUAGAUGGAGCUCUCAUCUACUCCAAUCCCAGCUAGCUGGGACUAUGGCUGCUUCUAAGGCCAAACAGACUUCAUAUAAAUACAUAAUGAACUUUUUCACACUAUCAGUUGUUACCCAGAUGAGGAUGGGUUCCCUUCUGAGUCUGGCUCCUCUCAAGGUUCCUUCCUCUUAACACCUUAUGGAGUUUUUCCUCUCCACCGUCGCCACUCAGUG